CCUACGGGGUGCUGCAGUGAGGAAUAUUGGUCAAUGGACGAGAGUCUGAACCAGCCAAGUAGCGUGAAGGAUGACUGCCCUAUGGGUUGUAAACUUCUUUUAUAAAGAAAUAAAACGAGGCACGUGUGCCUUUUUGCAUGUACUUUAUGAAUAAGGAUCGGCUAACUCCGUGCCAGCAGCCGCGGUAAUACGGAGGAUCCGAGCGUUAUCCGGAUUUAUUGGGUUUAAAGGGAGCGUAGAUGGGUUGUUAAGUCAGUUGUGAAAGUUUGCGGCUCAACCGUAAAAUUGCAAUUGAUACUGGCAGUCGUGAGUACAGUUGAGGUAGGCGGAAUUCGUGGUGUAGCGGUGAAAUGCUUAGAUAUCACGAAGAACCCCGAUUGCGAAGGCAGCUUACUAAACUGUGACUGACAUUGAUGCUCGAAAGUGUGGGUAUCAAACAGGAUUAGAUACCCGAGUAGUC
rnacentral:rRNA from 1 species